GUGCCUGCUGACCCUAGCAUGGGUGCCUUGCACAAACUCCCCUGGUGGUCAGGUAUGUGAAUGCCUUUGGUGCAGAUGAUGACCUGGGGGCAAACCCAGAGACAGCACAGGGUAGAUCAUUCCAGCAGUGUGAGUGCUGGAAUCAGACACAUUCCUGGGCUUGGAUCCACCCUCUGCCACCCUUUUUGAAAGUUGCUUCACCUCUGCAAAUCUCAAUUUUCUCAUGUGUAAUUGAAAAGUAAUAAUACCCACCUUCAAAGGUUGUUAGUAAUAUUAAGUGAUGCAGGCUAAGCCCUGAGGUGCUUAGAAGAGGUCAGUGUCGUUCUAAUAUAAACAGCAACACUGCUGUGCUCACAUUUGUGAUAUGAACAUGAGGGACACUUUUCUCCAGAGCACUAAAAUCAGCCAGCCAUAAAGGAGGAGCAGACAGGGGACUGGCUGGGGACGGAGGCUGGCUUUGUGGGGCUUCUGCUCACAUUGCCAAGUGCUUCAUUUAGGCCUCCAAACACAUGCAGCUCUUGCUCUCUGUGGCAUGCUCCUGGACUCCUAUGAGAAUUUUUUUCUGACCAUUUCAUGCUGUUGUUCCUGUCUAUGUGGUUUGUUUAUAUUUUCUGCGCCUUUGUGUGAGAAUUGUUUAGCUGACCGUGGGACUUCUCACUCAGUAUUGUGUUCUGAAAGGAACCAAGGUUCCCCAGUAGGCUCAACUCCAAGUAACUUUGCCCCCACCACUCUGUGGCUCUUUAUUAUUUAGGACUGUGCUUUUUAAGCUCCUGUUUUCUUAGGGGCAUUAUCACACCAGAGUUUCACUGCUGUCCAGAGUUUACCUCUGCAUGAAUGUCUCCAGGCUGAUUGUUCUCUGCUGAGUACUAACGAAGGAAAUCCAACAUUCAUGUUCUACUUUGGGCUUUCUGAUGACACAGAAGCCUGGCUUGUAUUCAGUACACAUAUAUUGAUGUCAUGUGACUUGACUAGACCAUAAAAACAAUAAAUACCUUUUAAUAGCGCCUACUGUGGACCAAGCGCUGUUAUAAGCACUUUACACAAAUUUAAUUGUCAACCUGGGGGCGGUGGCUCAUGCUUCUAAUCCCAAAACUUUGGGAGGCCAAGGUGGGAGGAUCUCUUAAGGCCAGGAGUUUGAGACCAGCCUAGGCAACACAGUGAGACUCCCCUCCCUACAAAAAAAUAUUUAAAAAUUAGCCAGGUAUGAUAGCACAUGCCUGUAGUCCCAGCUGUUCAGGAGGAUCACUUGAGCUUAAGAAAUCAAGACUGUAGGCCAGGCCUGGUGGCUCACGCCUGUAAUCUCAGCACUUUGUGAGGCAGAGGUGGGCAGAUCACGAGGUCAGGAGAUUAAGACCAUCCUGGCUAACACGGUGAAACCCCAUCUCUACUAAAAAUACAAAACAUUAGCCGGGUGCGGUAGCGGGCACCUGUAGUCCCAGCUACUCAGGAGGCUUAGGCAGGAGAAUGGCGUGAACCUGGGAGGCGGAGCUUGCAGUGAGCUGAGAUUGUGCCAUUGCACUCCAGCCUGGGCAACAGAGUGAGACUCCAACUAAAUAAAAAUUACUUUUUAUAAUAGCCCUAUGAGAUAGGUACUACAAUUAUCCUAAUUUUACAGAUGAGGAAAUUAAGGUGCAGAGAAGUUACCUAACCUGUCCAAGAUCACGCAGCAUAUACAUGGGAGAGCCAGGAUUUGAACCAAGGAAUCUCACUCUGGAUGCUUUCAUAGAUCAGGUAAUGUUAGCACUCAAAAGGCUUUAAGGUCCAACCACCUCAUUUUAAAAUUGAUAUUGCUGAGGCCUAAGUUGGAAGAUAACUUGCUUAAGAUCAUUUGGAUGGGCUAAUUCAUGGGCAGAACUUAACUAAAAAUACAAUUCCUUAUUCCAUAAGGGCUGGAGAAGAAAGCAGGUGGUAGUAAAAGCUAUAUACAAGUGAAAACACAGAUGAAAAACAAGUGAGCUCAAUUUCAGUCAUCUCCUUUCAAUUUAAUUGUUGUGUAAGUAUUGCAGGAAAUAAUGUAGUUUUAUAUCUUUGAUUAUUUUGUGCAAUUUCACCACAGUCCUGUGAAGACAGUAUAGCUACAGUUUAUCCAUAUGGGAGAUGGAGUUAAGGAAUACUAAGUCCCUUACCCAAGGCCUGUCCACAGUGAAUAAACCUGGAAGUUGAGACACAAACUCAAGACCUCCACCCCUAGUUCUCCAGACUUAUCCUUCUCCAGGUCCACAUCCUUAGCUCUCAAUUCCAGCCACUUUGAACUGUAUUCAGUUCCUCAGCCCGAUCUCAUCACUCAUGUCCAAAUCAUGAGUUUCUCUUCUUUUCUCCUAAGCCUCACCAGCUCCUACUCAUUCAUCAGUUUCCAUUUCGGUGUCUCCAGAGACCUCACACAACACCUGGAACACAGGUUAGACGCCCUCAUAGCUACUCCCUAAAUACCCUGCAUGUUUUCAUCAUAGCCCCACUCAUGGUAUAUAUCCCCUACUAGACUGGGUGUUCCAGGAGGGCAAGAUCACAUCUGUUUUGAAAGGUAGCACAGGGUGAUGGCUAGAUCCAGGCUUCUAGAAUCAGGCCUGACUUCACCUUCCCAGAUCCAACACUCACUAGCUAGUAAAUGCACGUAAGUUACAAUAGCUAAGCCUCAUCUAUUAGUGGGAUCUUAAAAGUCCUCAUCUGAUAUAUAUUUGAUAAAGACUAAGUUAGUAAUACAUAUAAAGUUGCUAGGGGAAUGUGAGGCAUACAAGUAUUCAGGAAAACGUGUGGUACAAAUCGAGGCUCCAGAAUAAUUGUGGUGGCUGGGCGCACUGGCUCACGCCUGUAAUCCCAGCACUUUAGGAGGCCGAGGCGGGUGGCUCACAAGGUCAGGAGAUGGAGACCACCCUGGCCAACAUGGUAAAACCCCGUCUCUACUAAAAAUACAAAAACAAGCUGGGCAUGGUGGUGCGCACCUGUAGUCCCAGCUACUCGGGAGGCUGAGGCAGGAGAAUCGCUUGAACCCAUGGGGCAGAGGUUGCAGUGAGUCAAGAUCGCGCCACUGCACUCCAGCCUGGGUGACAGAGCAAGACUCCAUCUAAAAAAAAAAAAAAAAAAAAAGAAGAAUUGUGGAAUGAAAGUAUAAAUGAACUAAACUGUUUCAGAUUUUCCCAUUUUCUUUUCUUGAUGCUUUUAACAUAUUCCUUUGUGUUAUUUAGGUGCAAAUGGCUCUUCUCUAUCAACUUCGCAAAUUAUGUUUGGGAAGUUUGAUAUUUUUAAUAUAAAGCUAUUUCUCAAAUGAAAGUAGGAAUAAAAUAACCCUCUGUUUCUUCUAAUGGAUCAGUUUGAAACAGGUCUUUGGAUCUGAAAAUGUAUCAAACUUUAUAUAUAAUUUCCUACUCCCAAAUGAAAUCACCAAUGAGAUUUGAGUCAAACUGCUGUUGACUAUUUUGGAUGAUGCCAUUGAUAAAAUCCAGUUUGGCUGUUUGGGGGGUGUGAGCCAAUUUAAGCUGUGUUUUGGCACAUCUCAAAUGGAUUUUCCACUUCCUCCACAGAUGUACGAGUCAGCAGCAAGCAGGAAUAUAUUGAUGUUUAUUUUAUCCUGCUGUGUCCCUAGGCAGGCAUUUCUGAGUUUCCAUGAUGUUUUAAUAAUGAAUUAAUAGUGACAUGAAAACAUAGUUUUGGAGGUUUUUCCUGAUUCACCAUAAAGGAUUUCACUUUCCUCAAACCAGAUUUCCCCCACUGGAUGGUCAGCAAGAAAAACAGAACCUGUUCAUCAGCCCAAGAUGCUGUUACUGUUAAAAUACAGGAGAGAACAUACUACCUAUUUUUCCAUUUUGUGUAAAACUCCAUAAUAUGUUAAUGCAUAGUAAACAUUUCUACAAUUGAGUAGGAUAAUUGUCUCACCAAUUUAUUACUCAAAGAAAUUACAAUAAUCAGUUGUUAAACACUGUGAAGCAGAUAAUGUAAUUGGUAAUAAAGUGCCUCAUUUAAUUUUCAAAUAUGUGUGAUAAAAUCUCUAUCCUUAUUUUUUUUCACAUGAGGAAAAAAUAUGACUUCAAUUGCGUAACUUGUCCUGAGCCACACCACUCAGUUGCAGAGGUAGACUCGAACCCAUAUCUGUCUGACUUCCACUCUCAUACCUCUACUCUGUGCCCUGGGUUGCUUUUUAGGGCUUCAGGUAGGAUCAUUGUACUUUAUAAAACAGAGCUCAGAAUCCGGGAGAGUUGUUAACAUUAAGUGAGAAUGAUAUCCAAAGGGUAGUGUAGUGGUAAUGAAUACUGGCUCUGAAGUCAGAUCACUUGGCAUCAAAUGCCAUUCCCACCAUUUACAAGCUGCUAUUAUUCUUAUUACUGUGUACCUUAUUUUGCAAUAUAUUGCUUUACCUAAGCUUUUAGGGACACAUUCACUGUGUAAAUCAAUGCUUCUCGUAUAUACCAACUUACUUAAGACAAAACAAUUUUGUAGGUAUUAUUAUACCCAUUUCACAGAUGAUGAAAAAUGAGACCAAUAGAAGUUAAAUAACUUGCCAAAGGCCACACAGCUGGUGAGUGAUGGAGAAAGAAUUAAAACUCAGGUGAGUAUACUCUAAAAGCCAUCUUCUCGUUAGUGUUUCUCACUAUCCAGGUCUGCCUUUGCCUCUUUUAACUGAAGUUAAGCCAUCCUUUACAGUUUGGGGGGAUCAUUACAGUGGGUUUUUAACUCCCAAUGUUCUGGUCCAGUUUGCUUUACAUGUUCUCAUUUAUACAUUGUCAAGGAUGACCUCAGAACAGCGCAGCAAGGACACAGUGGCACUUCACAUUUUGUUCCCACGAAAUGACUGGGACAUAAUCUCAGAUCAUCUUCCUUUAGAAUGUGGAAACAUCAGCAGAAGAACAUUAGUCUUUAUACAAGUCAAAUCCAAAAUGACACAUGUGAAAAAUAAUAGAGCUGACUUUCAGCCAUGAUAGCUUUGGCACACCUCACAUCCCUUUGUUCAACCUCUCUUCCCUCAACGGAGAGCUGCAUUCCUGGGAAUUUCUGUUGUGCGCUUUUCCCACUUGCCCUGCUGUCAUUUAAAGCCCAUUCUCUGGUCACAUCUUGAGUAACUUCCAGCGGAUCCUGGUGCUGGUUCAUUAAGGCUUCAAAGUCCCUUCCUAUGGUGAUGGGCUCAUGGGGGCGCCACCCAGAGGCAAUGCAGGUUCUAACAUGAGCAGAUAGAGUCUGUGCCUAUUCUCUCCUCUUUAAAUGUGGAAAUAUCAGGGAUAGAAAAUGUUCUCUAGCUCCAGUGAUGGUUGGCUCUCAAAUCUGCAUAAAACAAUCGGGAGACUGGAAAGAUCAAUUGAGUGAUGAGGGCCCAACUAGAGUAUCGGCCACCUUUGUGUAGAAGUGAUUCAAAUAAGCUACAUGUUAUCUUAUUGAAUACCCAUUAAAUUCGGCAACUCUGUGAGGUGCUCCAGGAGUUUCUGAGAGUGGAAGAGGUGAAAUCAACAGAAUGGACUCUAGACCCAUACCCUCACCCGCUCCCAGUGAGCUGCUCAACUUUAUUUUAUUUUUU